GUCUCCUUAGCUCAGCUGGUAGAGCAAUUCACUUUUAAUGAAUGGGCCUUAGGUUCGAAUCCUAAAGGGGACACCA
rnacentral:tRNA from 2 species